rnacentral:rRNA from 1 species
AUUGAACGCUGGCGGCAGGCCUAACACAUGCAAGUCGAACGAGUGGCGGACGGGUGAGUAAUGUCUGGGAAACUGCCUGAUGGAGGGGGAUAACUACUGGAACCGGUAGCUAAUCCCGCAUACCAUCGGAUGUGCCCAGAUGGGAUUAGCUCGUAGGUGGGGUAAAGGCUCACCUAGGCGACGAUCCCUAGCUGGUCUGAGAGGAUGACAAGCCACACGGGAACUGAGAGAAGGUCCAGACUCCUACGUGAGGCAGCAGUGGGGAAUAUUGCACAAUGGGCGAAAGCCUGAUGCAGCAAGGCCGCGUGUAGGAAGAAGGCCUUCGGGUUGUAAAGUACUUUCAGCGGGGAGGCGUUACCCGAAGAAGAAGCACCGGCUAACUCCGUGCCAGCAGCCGCGGUAAUUC